rnacentral:ncRNA from 2 species
CAGUGGGGUAGAGGUGCAGCCGGCAAGAGUAUUACCGGUGAGGGGGGCCCCGGUGAACUGGUAAGAAAGGGCCUGGCUGCCGAAGGGAGAUGGCUGGCCCGGGCCGUCUUCCUGGGCCGGUGGCUGAAUAAGCACCGGACUGUCACCAUCACGGUGGAGCGCUACUCACACG